UACAGAGGGUGCGAGCGUUAAUCGGAAUUACUGGGCGUAAAGCGCACGUAGGUGGCGACGUAAGUCGGGUGUGAAAGCCCCGGGCUCAACCUGGGAAUUGCAUUCGAGACUGCAUUGCUGGAGUACGGAAGAGGAGGGCGGAAUUCCCGGUGUAGCGGUGAAAUGCGUAGAUAUUGGGAAGAACACCAGAGGCGAAGGCGGGUUGCUGGGCUGAUACUGACGCUGAGGCGCGAAAGCCAGGGGAGCAAACGGG
rnacentral:rRNA from 1 species